GAUGAACGCUGGCGGCGUGCCUAAUACAUGCCAGUCGAGCGAACAGACGAGGAGCUUGCUCCUCUGACGUUAGCGGCGGACGGGUGAGUAACACGUGGAUAACCUACCUAUAAGACUGGGAUAACUUCGGGAAACCGGAGCUAAUACCGGAUAAUAUAUUGAACCGCAUGGUUCAAUAGUGAAAGACGGUUUUGCUGUCACUUAUAGAUGGAUCCGCGCCGCAUUAGCUAGUUGGUAAGGUAACGGCUUACCAAGGCGACGAUGCGUAGCCGACCUGAGAGGGUGAUCGGCCACACUGGAACUGAGACGCGGUCCAGACUCCUACGGGAGGCAGCAGUAGGGAAUCUUCCGCAAUGGGCGAAAGCCUGACGGAGCAACGCCGCGUGAGUGAUGAAGGUCUUCGGAUCGUAAAACUCUGUUAUUAGGGAAGAACAAAUGUGUAAGUAACUAUGCACGUCUUGACGGUACCUAAUCAGAAAGCCACGGCUAACUACGUG
rnacentral:rRNA from 1 species